UUCGCAAUGCCCGAAAGGGUGACGACGCGACGCCGCGUGCGGGAGGAAGGCCUUCGGGUUGUAAACCGCUUUUAGGGGGUAUGAAGAAGGCAGGGUGAAUAAUCCUGCCGACUGACGUCAACCCCAGAAUAAGCUCCGGCUAACUUCGUGCCAGCAGCCGCGGUAAGACGAAGGGAGCGAGCGUUGUUCGGUAUUACUGGGCUUAAAGGGCGCGUAGGCGGUCAUUUAAGUUGGUUGUGGAAUCCCUGGGCUCAACUCAGGAAUUGCUUCCAAAACUAAAUGACUAGAGGCAUUCAGAGGUGACUGGAACUCUUGGUGGAGCGGUGACAUGCGUAGAUAUCAAGAGGAACGCCGGAGGUGAAGACGGGUCACUGGGGAUUUCUGACGCUGAGGUGCGAAAGCCAGGGGAGCAAACGGGAUUAGAUACCCCGGUAGUCCUGGCCGUAAACGAUGGGCACUAAGUAGAGGGGUUUU
rnacentral:rRNA from 1 species